rnacentral:rRNA from 1 species
UUCGCAAUGCCCGAAAGGGUGACGAAGCGACGCCGCGUGUGGGAAGAAGGCCUUCGGGUUGUAAACCACUGUCGGGAGUUAAGAAAUGUAAGGAUAUGAAUAGUAUUCUUACUUGACUAAGGCUCCGGAGGAAGCCACGGCUAACUCUGUGCCAGCAGCCGCGGUAAUACAGAGGCGGCAAGCGUUGUUCGGAAUUAUUGGGCGUAAAGAGCACGUAGGCGGCCUUGCAAGUCAGUUGUGAGAGCCUUCCGCUUAACGGAAGAACGGCAUCUGAUACUACAGGGCUUGAGUACGGGAGGGGAGAGUGGAACUUCUGGUGGAGCGGUGAAAUGCGUAGAUAUCAGAAGGAACGCCGGCGGCGAAAGCGACUCUCUGGUCCGAAACUGACGCUGAGUGUGCGAAAGCUAGGGGAGCAAACGAGAUUAGAUACCCCGGUAGUCCUAGCCGUAAACGAUGGGCACUAAGUAGAGGGGUUUU